rnacentral:rRNA from 1 species
AACACAUGCAAGUCGAACGAGAAAGUGGAGCAAUCCAUGAGUACAGUGGCGACCGGGUGAGUAACACGUGACUAACCUACCUCCGAGUGGGGAAUAACUCCGGGAAACCGGGGCUAAUACCGCAUAACAUCGCAAGAUCAAAGCAGCAAUGCGCUUGGAGAGGGGGUCGCGGCUGAUUAGCUCGUUGGCGGGGUAACGGCCCACCAAGGCGAAGAUCGGUAUCCGGCCUGAGAGGGCGCACGGACACACUGGAACUGAAACACGGUCCAGACUCCUACGGGAGGCAGCAGUGGGGAAUUUUGCGCAAUGGGGGAAACCCUGACGCAGCAACGCCGCGUGGAGGAUGAAGCCCUUUGGGGCGUAAACUCCUUUCGACUCGGACGAUAAUGACGGUACGAGUGGAAGAAGCACCGGCUAACUCUGUGCCAGCAGCCGCGGUAAUACAGAGGGUGCGAGCGUUGUUCGGAAUUAUUGGGCGUAAAG